UACGAAGGGUGCAAACGUUGCUCGGAAUUAUUGGGCGUAAAGCGCACGUAGGCGGCUUUGUAAGUUGGAUGUGAAAGCCCUCGGCUCAACCAAGGAAGUGCAUCCAAAACUACAGAGCUUGAGUACUUAAGAGGAUCGCGGAAUUCCCGGUGUAGAGGUGAAAUUCGUAGAUAUCGAGAGGAACACCGGCGGCGAAGGCGGCCAUCUGGACGAGGACUGACGCUGAGAUGCGAAAGCGUGGGGAGCAAACAGG
rnacentral:rRNA from 1 species